CCAUGGUGUUGUGUCAACAGACCUGCCUUACUCUGUGGAACCAGAAGAGGAUUAGCAAUGGACUGAACAGCUGAAUUCCACCUUAUUUCAGGCUUGUUGGUGCUCAGUCACAGGUGCCGUUGGCUCUGACAGCACUAAUUGGGCUUUUGGUGGCAGGCACCGUGGAACUGCAGAGUUUCAGGCAGACCCUUCCAUACAUGAACAGGAUGAGAGUCAAGGGCACCAGGGCAGAUUUCUCACACCAGAACAGCCAUCAACAUGCCAAAGAAUAAAGGGAGGAAGUCACAGAGAACGAUUCUCACCUGUGAUGAGGUUGUCCAUCAGAGUGGUUGGCACACAGAAGAUGCCCACCAGCAGGUCACUGAUGGCCAGGUUGAAGAUGAAGAAGUUGGUGACAGUCCGCAUGCGCUGGUUCCUCAUCACCACCAGGCAGACCAAGGAGUUUCCAGCCAUGCACGAGAGAAAGACAAUGAGGUACGCCACGAUAAAAAUGGCAGCAACGACAGGAGAAUGCUGGUAGUAAGGGAGGAAGGUGCUGUUGCCGUGGCUCCCUCCCAUCCAUGUCUCAGUCUCAUUGGCCAAAGUUUCCAUUUGGAAGAUAUCUGUCAGCUGCCUCAACUACAAAGCAACCAAAACAUUUCCUUUUCAAUAUAUAUAUAUAUAAAGAGGGAGAGGGGCUAAUUUUGGCAAGGAAAAAAAAUCUCACUUAAGAUCUCCAUUUCAAAAUUGCACAUGAAAAUUCUCUGUCAGCCUUUCAGAUAUUCAA